rfam:Picea glauca, whole genome shotgun sequence.
GAUAGUUUGGCCGAGUGGUUCAAGACCCCAGAUUUAGCCUCUGGCCACCGAAAGGGCGUGGGUUCAAAUCCUACAAUCAUCA